rnacentral:tRNA from 1 species
GCCGAUGUGCAAUGGUUGCGGACCGGACUCCAAACCCGCGUCAUGAGGGUUCGAUUCCCUCCAUCGGUG